CCAACUUCUAGCGCUACCAUAAUUCGCCUAAAGCAGGUGCAGCCGCUUUCGCCCGGCCUGGCCGCCGCCGCCGCCGCCGCCGCCGCCGCGAGCGAAGACCACGUGGGCCGAACUUUAGGGGAAGCCGCGGGGACUUGGGGAGGAGACGCGGGCGGCGGACCUGGAAAAGGCGGGAGGUGGCGGGGCCCCCGGCUUCUGCCUGCCCCCGCGGGGCCUGCGGCGCGCCGUGCAAACCCCAGCUCUCGCCCGGAGCCUGGAGAAGAGAAAGCUGAAGCAUGGAAAGAUUACACCACUUGCCUAGGCUUACCGAGCUGCUAAGGGAUGAAGCAGGAUUCCAACCAGAGCCACUUCGGUGAGGAUGGAGAAGAACUCAUGGACGCCCCUGAAGCGGCACUGCUUGUGGCUUACCUGAGGAGGAGGGCAGGCUGCAAGGAAGGAAGCCCUUGGGCUCCCUCUCUCCCACCUGUGGAAUGAAGAGGAUAGAUGGGGAGGUACCCUCUCUGCCGCUCACCAAGCCUCUUGCCCUUGGCACCCCAUGGACUUUCUCAAAGCCCAUCCAGCCUGCAUCCCAGUCUCAGAGCUCUCUGCCUGAAGGCAGAUGCCCAGGAUAGGAAGCUGAGUACCCAGGGUCUCAGGCUGCCUUUGCUGUUUGUCUCCCAAUGCCCAGCAUCUGGGAAUGUUCCACGGGUCAACAGAUCAACUUGUAUGUACGGGCUUUCUCUCAUACACGAGCAGGGCAGGCCCCAGCUGCCCUUCCUCCAAACCCACCCUGAGCUGUGAUCUCCAGGCAGACUCAGGAAAUCUGCAGACCUCUCUGCUUCCUCCACAGCCAGAAGCAGCAACAGCUUGAAUUCCCUAGGGGUACAGCCUCAGUUUCCCCGCUCUCGGGCCAACACACCUGAGCAAGGCUUGGCCACUGCUGGAGGCUACCGACUGCACUGGAGGGGCUCCUGCCCAGAUCUGCCCCUCACUCUGGAAGCUUCUGAGGUGCGGCCUCCUCCGUCCUCCCCUCUUGCUGCGAAACAUGGAAACGUGGGGCCGGUGCUGCCCCCCUGCAGCCCCCUCUCCCUGAGGCCCGCUGGGAGACCAGGCUUUGCUCGAGGGCAGCGAGUGAAGCCGGCUGUAACAGAGAAACCUCGGGCUCCUCUUUAGAAGUCCCCGGAGGAGGCAGAUCUGAGGAAAGGCUGCCGAGAAGGCGCCUGCAGCAAUGUCAGCUUGAGAACAACCCGGCUGACAGGAUGCUGAGCGGGGAUUAAGGUCGGGAUCAGGGAAACCAGGGAAAUGAAGGCAAGUUCCCUGCUCGCCUUGCCGCCACCAUGAUGAUGCUGGGUUUGUCUUCUUGUUUAUUCUCACUCUGGGAAAGACAGCCAGGAGGAGGGUGGAGGACACCAGGCCUCCUCCGGCUCUCAAGGGCUCAGGCAGGGUGGGGUGGGGGUUGCGCCUGGGACCCUUCCCCAGCCACUGUCUCCAGUGGGCCAGCCACUCCCCUGGGAACCGUUCCCCCAUUGCAGAGUCUGUCCUGAGUGUUGACGGUGGCAGGACCAGUGAGGAUAGACUCGAGCAGGAUGACAUGGCAGUUGCCAGAUGCCCUCUGGGUAGGGGAUGAACCGUCUCCACCUGCCUACAAAUGCAAGAUCCCCUCUUGGGGAAAGGCCAUCACCCUGACUUGCCUAAUCACUCAAAUGUCCCCAAAGGGGCUUCUGAGUUCCAUGUCCUCCAGUGUAACAGAAUUGCAGGGAAACCUCAAACUCUUGUAUUGUUGUGGGUGGGCUGGUUGGCAUUGUGGCUUCUGGUCUCAGACUGCUUGGGUCCAGAUUCUGACUUGGCCACCCAUCUGCUGUGUGACCUCAGUCAAGUCAGCUGACCUUUCUCUGCCCAAGUGGAAGAAAAUAGUAGCAGCUUCUGCUAAGAUUGUUAAGAAGACGGAGGGAGCACAUGAAAAGUACUUGGUGUAGGGCCUACCACAGAGGAUGUGUGUGUGCCGUAGUUUGGUUACCAGGGGGCAGAAAGGAAUAAGAGUAGCAGCGGGAAGUUAACCGCCUGAAAGCGUCCCAGAGGAAGGAGGCACAGAAGCUGAUUUUGGAGACUGAGACUUGGGGCAGGGGGGGCAAGUGCUGGCGUGAGGGAUGGAGAUCCUGUUUGCCAGAUCCUGUUUGCCUAUUUACAGGUGGGGUUGGAGAGGCGUCUGGGAGGAGGAAAGGAUACAUUUUCCUGGAGCUCUACUCCCAGCCAGUUUUUCUCCAAAGUUCCUGCUCUAACUAGGGGUGACAUGACUAUGUUCUCCCAGUCCAGCCAAGGGUACAAAGAUGAUGAAAAGAUGCAGCUUAUCAUGGUGACCUUCCCUGAAUGGAGCUUAUUCCAGAAAUCCAAGCAAUUCAAACCUGGCACCCAAGUUCUCUGGACCCAGUGGGGGGUGAGGCAGCAGAGAAAGGUGCAGAAGCUACAAAUCUGGAGAUAGAUUGCUCUCCCACCUACCAGAGUACCUGUGUGACUUGGCAGGAGUCAGUUAGCCUCUCAGGGCCUCAGAUGCCUGGUCUGCAAAAUGGGGUUAAGAUUCACACAGGAACCAAGGAGGCGUCGUUCCUGCUCUCCAGGGUUGUAUGCUUUAGGACCUGCUGAGCCUGGCCCACCACACAGGCCCUCCUGGAGGAGCCUCAGUCCCUCACCCCAUCUUUGAACACCCUAGGGUGAACAGGGUAGUAGUAGGGUAGGGUCUGGGUGGGAGUGAGAAUGGGGUCCCAGUAAUUGAGGGAAGGGUCUGCUGAGUCUGGUAUCUUGGGAAGAGCACCUGGGCCAGGGAGUCUAGUCUCAGUGUGUGUGGAGCUUCUGGCUGGGAAUUUCUAUCUCCCCAGGACUGGUUUAUAGAAAAGCUAACUUCAAAAAUACAUCUUUUAUUAUUAUUAUUAUUAUUAUUAUUAUUAUUAACCUGGCAAUAAAAGUUAUAUCUCUUUAUUAUAAAAAAUUUAGAAAAUACAGGAAAAUAUAUAAAAGGAGAUAAAGUUCAACCAUAAUUCCACCACUCAGAGAUAACCAUAGGAGGACUUUACUGUAUCUUCCAGUUUUUUAAAGUACACAUACAUGUUCACACGCGCUUAUGUAGCUUUAUUACAGCAUAAUGUGCUUAAUGUAUGUAUCUCUCAAAAAUUUAGAAACAUGAUCAUGGAAUAGUAUCUGGCUUUUUGAUUAAACAAAAAUAUGGAGAACCUUGUCCCCAGGUCAUUAAAUAUUCUUCUCCAACAGAAUUUGAUGACUGUACAGUGCUCCAUCUUUUGGGUGUGUAAUAAGAGACGUAUACGUAGUCUCCCCUUAUCCUGAGGAGAUACUUUCCAAGACCCCCAGUGGAUGCCUGCAACUGUGAAUAGUCUUAUGUAUAUACUAUGUCUUUUUCUAUACUUAUACAUCUAUGAUAAAGUUUAAUUUAUAAAUUGGGCACAGUGAGAGAUUAAUAGCAAUAACUAAUAGUGAAAUGGAACACAGUUCCAUUAUGACAAUAACUGUAAUAAAAGUUACAUGAAUAUGAUCUCUCUCUCUCAAAAUAUCUUACUGUUCUGUACUCACCCCUCUUCUUGUGAUGACAUGAGAUGUUAAAAUGCCCACAUGACGAGAUGAAGUGAGGGGAAUGACACAGGCAUUGCGCUGGAGCACAGACUACUAUUGACCUUCCAGCCGUAUGUCAGAGAGAGGAUCAUCUACUUCCGGAUGUGGUCGGGCCGCAGGUCAUUCCGGACUCCUGACGCCGCCAGUCCCUCGGUGAGACGUGAGCGCCAUUGGCGUCCGUGGCCUCUGUUUCCGUGGCAACCCAGUAACCAUUAAUUUUCAAUUAAAGGAGACAAAAAGCUCCAUGACAGCUCCAGGUCUGCUGAAGAUGUCAAGAAUCUGUAUUAAUAUACAGCAAGAGAGCAUAAUUGUGUGUCCAUCUUCCAGAGCAGCGAAAAAUGGAGGGAUAAUUACCAGCUCGAAAGCCACUCUGUAAUUUACUUCUUACUGUCACCACAGCCCUACACAUUAGCAUAA